ACGAGUUAGGGUCUUCUAGGCCCGACCUCCCAACCCUAUGUUUAUUGAACCUCUGUUGCUUCGGCGGACCCGUCUCACGGCCGCCGGAGGACCGCUGCGAGGCGUCCUCUGGUCAGCGUCCGCCGAUAGCCAACCACUUAACUCUGAAUAAAUCGUGUCAUUAUGUCUAAGUAUGAUUAAAUUAAAGCA
rnacentral:misc_RNA from 1 species